CUGAGCCCUGUCCGGCGAUCGGCCGCGUACCGCCAGUCAGUUGUGUGACAACUGCCAUUCAGCGCGUGUCAACCGCCGUCCUCCCGCUCCGGUCCAAAGCGUUUGCUUGUAGUCGGCGUGACCGCCGGCCGCCACUUCGGUUUCGAAAGAUUUCCAAGCUACCGGGCAGCCAGACGACAGUUCGAUUUUCAACGGACCGCGGACCAAAAGUAGAUAAUUAUUGAGCCUUAUUUGGUAGUAAUGGAUUUCCAGUGUACGAUAACUUAGAAUCGGAAAAGUUUGUUCUGAUAUAUCUGCAAGAACCCAGUGCGGAAAUAAAACUUCGACAGGAUCAUCAGACCAGAGGAGAGAUCUCUAUAGUAGGAACAUUAUACCCAACUCUAUAAACAUGGACAAUGAGAAAAACACACUGUUACCAAAGUGGAGUGAGUGGAGAAGCACGGUGAAACGUCAAGUAAACAUUUUUAGUUGCAACCCAAACAAAUGUACUUGUAACUACUUGUAUGUUCUAACACUACAAGCUGUUGAUUUUUUCCGGGAAUUUAAACACGAACCACUGAAUGGCACACGCCUACAAUCGGUUGUAUAGGUGAUAGGUACUAUAGUACUGCAGGGUUGUUUUAGACAACACGUUUUAAAUGCAAACAAUCUAUUGACGGCACCAAUGACCGAUAGAGUUUUAAAUUUGGUUAUGACACCAGUGACGACGUUUAUACGUACAAUCGUGGACGAUGCAGAACCAGAUCGAUCUGUAUGUGUCUAACAAUAGGCGUGAUCACAGACCAGUUACUUCAAUCGCGAUUGUUGACCUUAAACGAAUAUGAUGACUAAACAAUAAACAUUGCAAUGAAAAAAAAACUAACUGCUAACAUAUUUUAGCUUAUUGAAUUUAAUAUAAAUUUUAUUUUAGUUCCCAGGUCCGUUUCUUCAUAGUGGAUUUUGAAUUCACUAUGAUGGUGACAUAUUAUUAGUGUCCGGCGCCAUAUCAAACAGCUUAGACAAAUAGGUAUAAGCCAGUAAAACUUGAGGGAAGCCCUCUCAUACUUACUAAGGAUGAUAAUUUGAGAAGGUUCCGGCGCUGUGACUUAAACACCGUUGUGCAAGCAAUUAAGAGGAUAUCUAGACAUAAGACAGAACUGAUGAUACCCUUGUUGGAACAGUUAUACCAAAGUGUUAACAUACGGGGGGCUUCUAACUUGUCUACGAGCUACGACUUAUCUUCAAAAAUAUUUGCACAUUCCUGAAAGGGAUCCAGUAAUAGUAUUUUGUAACGGAUCAACAGAUAUGACUAUAAUUAAGCGUCUAAGGUUAAGGGGUAUACUUAAAUAUUUAAAUUUAACGGCAUAUAGCGUUAAGAAUAAUAACGAAUUUAAUACAAAACUAAUAAACGUAGAAAUUAAGGAACAAUUAUAUUCAGGGUAGUAUAGGGUACAUAGGAACAAUAAAUAAAAAUGGCAGGAUGUUAAAUUUACUUGAGACACAUGGACUAGUGUGUAAUAUAGAUCAUAAUAUAACACAUUGUCAUGAUCCAGUAGCUGAUAUAAUUUUAACAAAAUGUAUUUUUAGCUAUGUUGUUAUGUUACUAAAAUUAAGCCUAUUAAAUUAUUUUAUAGAUUAUGUAGAAGGGAUAAGAGACGAAAAAAAAUGCAUAGUAAUAUAUUUAAUUAGAAUGAUAGUAUAAGCGAUUACAAAUAUAUAUAAGUAAAAUAAUAGUAAAAAGUAUAAAACACACUAGAUGUGAGGUAAUAAGGGCUUCCUAUUAAUAUACAUUACGUUUAUUAUAGAGAAAAGAAAUUCAUCUAGAAUUAAAAAAUAUCAUCGGCAACGAAGUGCGUAUAUAUUUAGAUAUAAUGAAGAUCAAUUUCAGUCGAUAUGCAUGUGUCGAUAUUUAUUAAAAGCUAAUAAAAGGAUUAGUCAACCUUUUGAGUUUAAGCGACUAAACAAAAUAACUAGGAACAUCGAAUUAUUUAUGAAGGAUCAUUGUAAGGGGGAGUGUAGGGAACUUUUGAAAAUAAUCGAAAAAAUUAUUAUUAUUUUUAUUAUUAAAUGUAAACAUACGAAUGCAAUAAUUUUGGGAUAUAUUAUUCACAUUAAUUGGUGAAGGAUUUAUAACAUUAUAUUAACACAAGGGAAAUUAAUACUUAUUAUUAUUA